AGCAGCCGCGGUAAUUCCAGCUCCAAUAGCGUAUAUUAAAGUUGUUGCAGUUAAAAAGCUCGUAGUUGAAUUUCGGGAUUGACGUGAUGGUCGUGCCUUACGGGGUAUGAACUGUUGCUGUUGAUUUCUCACCUUCUGGAGUAAACUUGAUGUCCUUAAUUGGGUGUCUUGCGGAUCCAGGACCUUUACCUUGAAAAAUUAGAGUGUUUAAAGCAGGCAUUUUGCUCGAAUACAUUAGCAUGGAAUAAUAGAAUAGGACGGCGUGGUUCUAUUUUGUGGUUUCUAGGAUCACCGUAAUGAUUAAUAGGGAUAGUUGGGGGCAUUAGUAUUCAAUUGUCAGAGGUGAAAUUCUUGGAUUUAUUGAAGACUAACUACUGCGAAAGCAUUUGCCAAGGAUGUUUUCAUUAAUCAAGAACGAAAGUUAGGGGAUCGAAGACGAUCAGAUACCGUCGUAGUCUUAACCAUAAACUAUGCCGACUAGGAAUCAGACGAUUGUUAAUUUUAAUGACUCGUUGCUAAC
rnacentral:misc_RNA from 1 species